UUAUUCAAUAAUAUAAUAUGUUUCUCCUAAUAUUUAUAUUAUUUUUAUUACAGUGAAUAACGUUGAAUAUUUUAACUGAGAAAGUUUGAAGUUCCCGCAAUAGACACUUGCGGCAUGACAAGCUUAAUACUAGAAUUUACUUAAGGUUUUACUCUAUAUAUUAACACUACAUUUAAUUGGCAUUAAAUUGGCCAAUGUCUAUUUGAUUGUAGUGUUAUUUUUUUACAUUUUUUAAAAAUAAUAAUAGCUAUAUUUGGGAUUGUAUCAUGAACCGAAUCGCUUAAAUAUAUUGUCAAUAGGUACAUUUUUUAUUUUUAAAACGCUUGACAUUGGAAUUUUCUUACUGUUGAAAAAAACACCGUAUAAUAUAUUUAUUUCCCAUCAGGUAGGUACUUAUAUGGCGAUAUGGGACUUUUGCACAGGACCCACUGUAAUACGACGAUGAGAAAAGCUAUUUGUAUUUCCGUCUGAAAUAUUGAAAUAAUACAUAUAGUUCAAACAUAGCAUUUAAUUUAUACCCUGCAGAGUGUUGUUAUUCGCAAUCGUUUCAUCGCGUCAAGCACACGCGAGUGUUCAUGUGUGCAUAUAGGUAGGUAGCUGGUACCUAUACGAGGCUACACGAAUAUAAUUACGUUUUUGAAUAUGUAAUUGGAUUUUUCGUAAAAAGGUUUGACGAAACACUAUAUACCUAUACCUUCUCACGGUCGGUGGGUGCCGAGAUUUGCAUUAUAAGCGCUUACCUGUGGGUACCUAUAUAGUAUAUAUAUAUAUAUAUAUAUAUGCCUGCGCAAUUAUACCCGGCGGAUACCCGUUCGUCCAGAAAAAUAGGAUUUCCUCUUUUAUUAUUCCGAUUAGAAAAGUGAGCGACAGCGAAAUACAAACGCCGCGGUCGAUUUUCGAGUUCAACCGACUAUGUACGUGUAAUACAUAUACCACGCGCAUUAAUCUCACCCCGUACACACGCAUAGUUAGGUCUCAUAGUUUAUAGUUCUUCGAUGAAGUUGUAUAUUGGUAAUAAUUAAUAUAUUAUACUAUUAUAAUAAUAUAUUCGUUGGUCUGAAAUAAUUGCGGUGAUUUGUGCGUUAUAUAUUAUUUUAUCAUACGACCGAACGUUUAAAUCACAGUCAGAUUUCUACAACUCCCGUCGAACCGCGUUUAUGUAUAAAGCAAAAAUUACAUGUCAUUUAAAUCAAUAUCAAACCACACCCGUAUAAUACGUAGGUAUUAUGUUUUAUAUUAUGUUUAAUUAUAUUUAAAUAGCAUAUAGGUAUAUUAAAUAUUUACAUGGCCAAUAAUAAUACGAGAAUCCAUUAUACGAAGAAUGUUUUUCACUGUUCAUAUUAUUAUUAUAGUGAUAGGUAGGCAUAUAAUAAUAUUAUACUGGUAUAAUGCGUUUUCGUAUCACGACCAGUGAUAUUUUGAUUCGCGAUGUGAGAGAAUAAUAAAAAAAAAUAAAAAAAAAUCGUAAUAUUUAAAUGUCAACGCACAUUUUGGCUUGAAUAAGAAACUACUAUAUUAUAAUAAUUUAUACAAUAUAAUAUAAGUAUUAGUAACGAGUGUGUGCGUAAAUAUUUAAGUACUUAAUGAUGCAUUAUGUUUUAAAAUGCAAUUUGUAAAAUCCGGAAUAACGGCCGUCAUUGUUUAUAUUAUUAUAUUAUAUGCGUAUAUAUACGCAAUAACCUAUUACAGCUAUAAUACCUAGGUGUAUGUUUCUGGUGGGCAGCUGCACGAGGCGAUAGUGUGUCAUCAUCAUGUACAUAAUAUUCGAUUUGAUAUGCCGACGAUUAGUUAUAGGUAAUAUAUUAUUAUUAAAUUAUAAUAUUAUCUUCGUUAAACAGCGUCGAAUUUUCUCAAACGAAUCGACGAUGUGUUUUCGAAUUUGAUUUAUUCGGAAAGUGCGUGCGCCGCAUGUAAUAACUACAAAUUAUAAAACGCGUUUGAUAAUGUCUCCGUGUACGUAUAUAAUUGUAAACUCAAUUAUACCGCAUAAAUUGUUGAAGAAAUUGACGGUACGCACGGCCGGAAAUUUGUGUCGCAAAAAUGGCGGGAGUCGUGUUAAAUACAGAAUCCAAUAAUCGAAUAAUAUGCUGAAAUCCUCGCCGAGGAGUAUUCUGCGAGAAUAACGUAAAAUCUUGCGAUCUCGACGCCCAUAAAACGAUUUCCUGUUUGUAGAUGACGAUUUCCACAUAUACAUUAUUAUGUUCAUCGCUUUACGUUUAUCGAAUAUAAUUUAACCGAACGGCGUUAUGAAUUUAAACCCACCGUAAAAUUCUUAUCGAAGUCGUAUAAUAGGUACAUCGUACAGUAUAUUUUGUUUAAAUAGCGUGCAGAGUUUGAAAUUUGUUUUUUAAAUAUAUUAUUAUAUGAUGGAAAUAUGAUCAUAUAAUAUGACGUUACUGCGAUAUGAGAAAGAACAAUAUAAAUUGUAGUAAUUUCUCCGCACCGCUGUUUUGGGAAGAUCAAGAUUUUUAAACGCUCUGUAUAUGGGUAUGCGACAAUAUGCGACAAUAGUGGGUAGGUAGGUAUAUGUAUAAUGUGUACUUGCAUGAAGUUUUCCAUUGAUUUCGUCCACAACACCGUGCGUGGGGAGUUCUGCAAGAAUAUACUAUAUAUAUGUAUGCAUCAAAAUAAGUAAGGGUUCUUUAAGGAGCGCGCGAGUCAAUCCGGGUCUAAGGUUAUCUGCGAGGUCUCUCUCUUCAUUCUCUCUCUUAAACUCACUCACUGCACGCUGCCACCCCUUCUCACCUCCAUGCACAUGUAGAGCACAACUUUACAUCCCCCUCGGACGGGGGGCGAAAGCCGGCACCAUACGCAGCAGCCACAUCGCGCACGCACAUUAACUUAUAUGUAUAUAUAUAUAUAUGAAUACAAAAAGGGUCGCGCGUUCUCGUCUCCUCGUACACGGCCUUAUAUUAUCAUUUAUCAUACCGCUAUAAAUAUAUAUAUUGUUAUAUACAUAUUCGCACAAUCAUCGGUAUCGUCAUAAAAAAUAACGCUUACGAGUUAUGGCGAUAACGACAACGCUGCAAAAGUCCUUUUCACGGAGCGCAUAAAAUACUAUAAUAUAAUACGUCUUAUAAGUUAUAAAUAAUAAUAUAUAGGUAUACAACACUCGUGAUGAUGUAUUCUUUAAUAUCAUUAUGAUAUUUUAUAUUUUUCCUGAAAUCGGGAUGCGCCGUCACGUCGACCUUUAUUAUUAUUAUUAUUUUUUUUUACUGCACAUUAUGCAUUUUUUAACCAAAGGUAGUGCGAGAGUCGGAAUAGAAAGGCUUUGGGCUCACACACACCUCUGGUUCUAAUAAUAUUAUGUAUUCUUAUUAUGCCACUCUCUUUAUGUGCGCGCAUAAACACAAUACCGUAUUAGCGCGCGCUGCGACUGAGAAAUAUAUUACUCGUCGUCGUCUACCUUACCUAUAUAGUCGUCGCGGGGGUAUGCCUAUACUUGCGUGCAAUACAAUAAUAAUAUCGGUAGACUGCAGAGGUACCUAUAAACUGUAUAUGUGUGUGUGUACGACGUACGUGAGAAACAAGCGUUCAUUAUUAUUAUUAUUAUUAUUACUACCGCCGGCUGCAGGGACGUGCAUAUAUUUGCAUGUCGAAGGGUCAAAAGCCCGCGUCGUCGCCGUUUCGUGUGUGUAUAAUAUUAUAAAUUAUAAUUUAUAUAUAUAUAUAUGUUUAUACGAUAUCAUAAUAUAUGGGUAGUUAUGGGCUGCAGUCGUCUACGCGGAGCUCUGCAGUGGGAUUCAGUCUCGAUUCGCGUCUCGGAUGGUAAUAUUAUAACACAUCUUCCGAUCAUCAUAAUAAUGUGGAUAAAACAUUAUAAUCCAUUUUAUAUAAUAUUUUGUUCCUAUAUGAUAUCCGCUAAUUGUCGCGUUAUAUACACGAGUAUUUCGAAUUUACCCAUCCUGUAUAUAUUGUGGUGCAACAGAGUACCUGCUUAUAAUAAUCGUGCGCUGCAUGAUUAUUCGUAUCACUCUGUAUAUCAUAAAAGCGCACGCACCUACAGGAUAUUUCGCGAGACGUGUGUGGUACGGGACUAAAUUAUUAUUGUACGUACGAUUUGUGUCACGUCUAUAUCCGACGUCGUGUCAUUUCAAAAUAUGCUGCAGUUGUCGGGCGACCGCGGUCGAAUUUCAGUUGAUACCUACAUCGAAUACGUCUCAAAAGAAGCCAUAUAAACACCUUUCUCGCAGGGAUGUUCGUCGGUUAUCGAAUAACACAACCCAAACUGCACGUAAUACACUUCAAUACGUAACAUACGAAGCGCGACGAUGAGGCAAUAAUUGUUAUUCGAGCUCAUUUAAAUAUUCCGAUGAUGAAAAUAAUAAUAAUAAUAAUAGUUUGUCAACAAUUUUCAGUAACGGAAUACAGAAUAAUUAUUAUUCUGUAAUUCGAAAUGGAUAUCUCCCCUGCAACGGUCGACGUCGUGACUUGGAAGAAUCUUCGGCGGGAAAAGAAUAAUUUAUGCAAAUUUAUAUGUUGCAGUGGCAACGAAAUCGUUGAGUAUAGGUACAACGAUGAUUAUGAUAUUGUUAUACGUAUAAAAUUAUACAGGUAGCUAUAUGUAAUUUUCUCGUAAUAAUUGUCGUAUAGCUACAUCAUCUAGUAUCACAAGUACUUGGUAACCAAUAAAAACCGUGAAACCAAAAUA